AACGUACGCUGGCGGCAGGCUUAACACAUGCAAGUCGAACGAGAUCUUCGGAUCUAGUGGCAGACGGGUGAGGAACACGUGGGAACAUCCCUUUCAGUUCGGAAUAACGUUGGGAAACUAACGCUAAUACCGGAUACGUCCUUCGGGAGAAAGAUUUAUCGCUGAAAGAUUGGCCCGCGUCUGAUUAGCUAGUUGGUGAGGUAAUGGCUCACCAAGGCUACGAUCAGUAGCUGAUCUGAGAGGAUGAUCAGCGACAUUGGGACUGAGACACGGCCCAAACUCCUACGGGAGGCAGCAGUGGAGAAUAUUGGACAAUGGUCGCAAGCCUGAUCCAGCCAUGCCGUGUGAGUGAUGACGGCCUUCGGGUUGUAAAGCUCUUUUGUCCGGGAAGAUAAUGACUGUACCGGAAGAAUAAGCCCCGGCAGACUUCGUGCCAGCCGCCGCCGUAA
rnacentral:rRNA from 1 species